GUGCUCGCUGUGGCAGCACAUAUACUAAAAUUAGAAUGACACAGAGUAGAUUAGCGUGGUCCCUGUGCAAGGGUGAUGUGCAGAUUUGUGACGCAGUCUGUACUUCU
ensembl:snRNA U6 U6 spliceosomal RNA